CUGCUGAAUUUAAGCAUAUUAAUAAGCGGAGGAAAAGAAACUAACAAGGAUUCCCCCAGUAACGGCGAGCGAAGUGGGAAGAGCUCGAGCCUGAAAUCCCCGGCGCCACGCGCCGGAGAAUUGUGGCCGGGAGAGGCAGCCUGUGCCCUGGCUGGCGCCGUCGAAGUUGACCUGGAAAGGAACGUCGGAGAGGGUGAGAGCCCCGUACGCGACGCCGCCGGCUUGGGCCGUUACUGUCUUCGGAGAGUCGGGUUGUUCGGGAAUGCAGCCCAAAGUGGGUGGUAGACUCCAUCUAAAGCUAAAUACUGGCACGAGACCGAUAGCGAACAAGUACCGUGAGGGAAAGGUGAAAAGUACUUUGAAAAGAGAGUCAAAAAGACCGCGAAACCGUUAGGAGGGAAACGAAUGCGGCUGAAGUGGCUCCCCGUCAGGCUCAGGAGAGGUCGGUCGGGUCCGGAGGCUGCGCGGUUGCUUGCCGCGCCGGNCGCCGGCGCCNGCCGACCGAUCUGCACUUCUGCGGGGAGCCGGCCAACGGCAGUUGCUCCCGGCCCACGAGGGCGCCGCGGGUAGGUGGCCCCGCGUUUCCGCGUGGGGACCUUACAGCCCGGCGUCUGGACGUUCCGGGACGCGACUGAGGACAGUUGCGAGUCUCUUUGAUCGCACCGGCAGCGCAGGCCUCCCCCUUCGCGGGGGGAGGCUGGGCCGCUCCAGCCCGGUGGGCGGCCGCGAUGGCCACUGCGUGCAGUGGUCUGUCGACGGUCCCGUCCGCCGGGAGGGUGGNCGGUCGCACCCUGCGCUGCGGUCGUUGGUGCCCGAAUGNNNNNNNNNNNNNCGUCUUGAAACACGGACCAAGGAGUGCAACAUGCGUGCGAGUCUUUGGGUGGCAAACCCGUCGGCGCAAUGAAAGUGAAGGCAGGUGUAUUGGCCUGCUGUGGCGGGAGCCCUCGCGAGGGGGCGCACCGUCGACCGAUCCCGGGCUACGCUGUGGCGGGAUUUGAGUGAGAGCGUGCCUGUUGCGACCCGAAAGAUGGUGAACUAUGCCUGAAUAGGGUGAAGCCAGAGGAAACCCUGGUGGAAGCUCGCAGCGAUUCUGACGUGCAAAUCGAUCGUCAAAUUUGGGUAUAGGGGCGAAAGACUAAUCGAACCGUCUAGUAGCUGGUUCCCUCCGAAGUUUCCCUCAGGAUAGCUGGAGCCCGGUGGCAGUUUUAUCAGGUAAAGCGAAUGAUUAGAGGUCUUGGGGCUGAAACGGCUUCAACCUAUUCUCAAACUUUAAAUGGGUAAGAAGCUCGGCCUGCUCAGUUGAGGUCGGGCACUAGAAUGCCGGGGCUCCCAGUGGGCCAUUUUUGGUAAGCAGAACUGGCGAUGUGGGAUGAACCGAAAGUCGGGUUAAGGUGCCGGAAUCGACGCUCAUCAGAUCCCAUGAAAGGUGUUGGUUGAUACAGACAGCAGGACGGUGGCCAUGGAAGUCG
rnacentral:rRNA from 1 species